rnacentral:lncRNA from 1 species
UACAAGAGACUGAUUUUGCUGCACAAACAAGAUCAAAUCUUGAGGUGAUGGAUUAUAUUGGUCAGAUUUCUAUAAGAUCCCCUUUUCUUCUGAAUAAACAUGGAAAAGUAUUGUUUUGAAUAAACAAAACUCUGGUCCCUGUCAUUUUCAAUCUAGUCUAGCUAAUAUAAAACUCAUCUAAGUACUGGAAUUAGAAUCUUUGAGUUAUUCCACUGGGAUAUAGAAGUUAUCUUUUUUGUAUAUUCCUUAAAGUAAUUGCCCUUUUUUUAAUUAAUAUGCCAGUAUACUACCUAGAACUGAUUGUGACAUUCUGCCCUUUUUGUAUGUUCUUGAAUAUUGACAAAACUCAUUUUAUUAUGUGCUACAGCUGUGAAAAUCUCAUGUUAUCUAAAGUUAGAUACGCUAGUUUAGUUGUACUUGAUGUCAUAUACAGAGAAUAUAAUUUCGAUUUCUUUGGUGAUUUAAGAAAAUUUAAAUUCUGGAUAAAAUAUAACUCACUAGCACACAGGCCCCUGCUUCCUUUUCGACUUCUAAUACAUGUAUGAAGCCAUUAUGGGGAAUGAAAAAAGAAUAAUUCGGUAGUCUCAACCACUAAAACUAAGUAAUGUAUUCUUUGUCAGGUGCCUGUUGCAGCAGCUACCUAUUAUGAAGAUAUGUUUGUCAACUUUGAGUUAGCAAUAGAGGCAGAGUCUCGAAUCGCAGGAAUGAGGUUGUUUGUGACAAAUGAGUACAUGCAUUCUGGUCUACGAGAUGGGCCAGUUCAUAUUUUGGAACAGUUGAUGGGAAUGUUGAAUGGGAAAAAAAUUGUUGUUUUGACAUUAUGUAGUUUCAAUAUUUGAUUGUUGGAUUAUGUAAUUAGUUUCGAUAUUGGAUGGUUAAUUUUGAUCAUUUAGUUAGUUUUGAAAUUGGAUGAAUUAGAUAAUGUAGUUGGCUGAUUGAAUGCAACUUUGGUUUUGGUAUAUUGAUUUUUGUAUACUAGUUAUUUGGUUUGGUAUAUUGCUUCUGGGUAUUUGAAUUUUCAUGUUUGGGUGUCAAAAAUACAAGGAACUGAUGUCUUAGCAAAGAUAUAACAUCAAUUUGAUUUAAGAUAAUCGAUGUAAAAUUAUAUUUAUAACAACAGCUCAAAAGAGAUCCCAAAUACA